UUGCUUGACAACCAAUGAAGGUUGGUGACAGGAAAGGCACCCAGCCGAAGAAAAUCUGGCUGAAUAACUUGUCUGA